GACGAACGCUGGCGGCGUGCCUAAUACAUGCAAGUAGAACGCUGAAGGAGGAGCUUGCUCUUCUGGAUGAGUUGCGAACGGGUGAGUAACGCGUAGGUAACCUGCCUGGUAGCGGGGGAUAACUAUUGGAAACGAUAGCUAAUACCGCAUAACAGUAGAUGUUGCAUGACAUUUACUUAAAAGGUGCAAUUGCAUCACUACCAGAUGGACCUGCGUUGUAUUAGCUAGUUGGUGGGGUAACGGCUCACCAAGGCGACGAUACAUAGCCGACCUGAGAGGGUGAUCGGCCACACUGGGACUGAGACACGGCCCAGACUCCUACGGGAGGCAGCAGUAGGGAAUCUUCGGCAAUGGACGGAAGUCUGACCGAGCAACGCCGCGUGAGGGAAGAAGGUUUUCGGAUCGUAAAGCUCGGUUGUAAGAGAAGAACGAGUGUGAGAGUGGAAAGUUCACACUGUGACGGUAUCUUACCAGAAAGGGACGGCUAACUACGUG
rnacentral:rRNA from 1 species